rnacentral:rRNA from 1 species
GACGAACGCUGGCGGCGUGCCUAAUACAUGCAAGUCGAACGCUUCUUUCCUCCCGAGUGCUUGCACUCCAUUGGAAAGAGGAGUGGCGGACGGGUGAGGAACACGUGGGUAACCUACCCAUCAGAGGGGGAUAACACUUGGAAACAGGUGCUAAUACCGCAUAACAGUUUAUGCCGCAUGGCAUAAGAGUGAGAGGCGCUUUCGGGUGUCGCUGAUGGAUGGACCCGCGGUGCAUUAGCUAGUUGGUGAGGUAACGGCUCACCAAGGCCACGAUGCAUAGCCGACCUGAGAGGGUGAUCGGCCACACUGGAACUGGGACACGGCCCAGACUCCUACGGGAGGCAGCAGUAGGGAAUCUUCGGCAAUGGCCGAAAGCCUGCCCGAGCAACGCCGCGUGAGUGAAGAAGGUUUUCGGAUCUUAAAACUCUGUUGUUAGAGAAGACCAAGGUCGUUAGUAACUGAACGUCGCCUGACGGUAUCUAACCAGAAAGCCACGGCUAACUACGUG